ensembl:lncRNA
GGGGGCCCUAUGCUAGCAAUUAAGCAAGCACGUUUCUGUACGUGGAGUAUCAGUGUGUGUGUGUGUGUGUGUGUGUGUGUGUGUGUGUGUGUGUGUGUGCGUGUGUGUGUGUGUGUGUGUGAAGUGAGGCAGUGGGCCAGAACUGAGCCUAUGUGACAGCUCCCUCCAUUCACCCUCCACAUCCCAGAACAAUCAGCGCCCUAAUUAAACUGCUCGAGGUACGGCGAGGGAGCGAGGGAACGGGAGACAAGAGGAGAGAGGGAGAGAGGGAGAGAUGGAGCACGAUAAGGAGAGAUAAAAAAGACUGACUGGGGGGGAUCAGGGGCAGCAGAGUAACAUGGGAUUUGGGUGGAAGACUGUGUAGAAGUGGGAAAGAGAGGCUGGGGUGGGCAAAAAGAAAGAGAGGAAGAGAGAGAGAGAGAGAGAGAGAGAGAGAGAGAGAGCCCUUACCACCCUGGGGGCAACGCAAAAACUGCUGUGUCAGGCCUAAGAUGGGUAAUAGUGCAACCACAAGCAUUUCAGCCUUAUUGCUUAAAGAGACGGGGCAGCACAGCUAAAACUGCAAGCAGUCCAAUCUGCUAACCUCCACCGCUACCGCAAGGAUGUGAACACACCCUCAGCCCCAUGGCCAUCCACAAAUCCCCACAGACUCUCAGCCUCCCUGCUUCACUCCCGGUGGUUCCAGCCAACAGAAUCUAUCACCUUCUGUGCGCCAGAUGGAGGUUCAGAUAUAUCUGCAAACGUUGAAUCGCCCAACACCGUACUCCUCCUUCCAUCGAAAGACCCUCCACACAAAAAGAAAAAAAAAAAACACUGGAGUAGUAGCGUCCCCGACAGAGUCCACCGGGCAGAACCCGUCCACACGCCAGGGACUCGUCUUUCUCUGGGGAGAGCGCCCGUGCUGAGGUGCAGGCUCACGCCAGGUGAAUGGAGCCCAUCAAUAAUGCAUCA